UAAGGAAUAUUGGUCAAUGGAGGCAACUCUGAACCAGCCAUGCCGCGUGAAGGAUGAAGGUCCUCUGGAUUGUAAACUUCUUUUAUGUGGGACGAAAUGCAUUUUUUCUAAAGUGUUUGACGGUACCAUAGGAAUAAGCACCGGCUAACUCCGUGCCAGCAGCCGCGGUAAUACGGAGGGUGCAAGCGUUAUCCGGAUUCACUGGGUUUAAAGGGAGCGUAGGUGGGCUUGUAAGUCAGUGGUGAAAUCUCCGUGCUUAACACGGAAACUGCCAUUGAUACUAUAGGUCUUGAAUGUUCUGGAGGUUAGCGGAAUAUGUCAUGUAGCGGUGAAAUGCUUAGAUAUGACAUAGAACACCAAUUGCGAAGGCAGCUAACUACAGGGUUAUUGACACUGAGGCUCG
rnacentral:rRNA from 1 species